CCCUUUUUCCCCUAUAUCCUGAGUCAUAAGCACAGGCCACUCCCACAUCCCCUCCCCGUGAAGUACAUCCUGUGGUUAAUGGCAUGGUAUUGAGCAUUGCAUCCAUGUAUGUCUAGCAUUCCUUGGAUCCCUGGAGAAUGCUACUUGUUGAAGAUUUGGAUGUACCAAAGCCAGAUGUAUGCUCAGAAGACAUCUAGUUGGGCACACUGCUGGUGUCUGGGGAAUGACAUGGCAGGAAAUGAAUCUAAUCAACCUGAAUCCGAUUCUAGCUCUUCACUGUCAACCAUGUUGAAGUUUACUGCUGUAGCUAAAGCAUAUAUGCCAAAAUAGUCUCUCGUCCCUGCAUCUCACUGUGACCUCAUCCCAGUCCCCACACCCAGAUACAGCUUGGCUGCAGCUGUGGGGAAAAGAUAAAACCAUUCCUGGAUUCUGAUAUGUUGGAGGCCAGAAUAGGUAGGUACUUGGGCUGCUACAAAUUAUGAAUGGACUAAUUCGAAAUUGAAAGUUCAUUGAUGAAACAUCUAUGUGAAUUACCUGUGUCUUCCACAGGACAUCUAUCUAAACUCUUUAUUUUAUGCAUGUAUAAGGCUUACCCAUGAUAACUUAGCAAACUAAUGUCAUACCAGUUUCUUUGACUGACAGAUACUUCUGAACCCUAAUGGGCUAGAAGAGGCCUCUUAAGAUAUUGAAUCAUAAUUACACAUCAACACAAUUUGAGGACAUAGGGUUCAUACUAGAAAAAGUUCCGUGUCUUUACAUAAACUGACAUCCACACCCUCCAGUUGGCAAGAACUAAUCAUUUCCUAAAUCAGAACAUAUAUACUAUGUCUGAAAUGCUAACAUUUGAACAAUGCACAUUAAAUUAAAUUAUUUCCUUUAGUUGAAGAAAUGGUCCUCAUGACAAUCUUUGCUGAAAUUUCUCACACUGGAUAUUGCAAGGAAAAUAGGUUCCUAGAUUGACUCUUGAACUACUCCUAUAAGAAUAGUGUGUGGCCUCAUCUUGGUUCUAGUCCUUUUCCUGUCAUGGCUAGAUGUGCAAUGACAACUUUCCCCAGCUUAUGAUCACACCCUGGGACAGAAUAAUCUAAGUUACAAGUUGCUGUUACCAUUCAGCCUUCAAAGCUAAGGUGUCUUCUUUAGUAAUCUCCUGAUCCCUGGGCAGCCAUAACCCGUGGUGGAAAGUGGGAACAGACAUGGAUCAGACCAAAAAGAGGGCAGCUGAGACAAUCAGAGGUGACAAGUGACCGUGGCUCCUGCCACCUUCUAGAGGGCCAAUGUUCAGUUGACUCUAGACCAGACAGAGUCACCCUCUUGUCAGCCUCCUUUCACACCAGCAGGGUCCUUCCUUUCCAGCCUGUGAGAAGAAAAGCCAGCAUACCCUGACCAUCAAUACAUUAAUAUUUGAGACCGCAGGUGUUGAGGUCUUCAUUCCAUGCUGAGAAGUGUUUCCCUCCAUGGAGACUGGAAACCCCUUGGUGAGUCUUAAUUGUUAUUCUUCUCUGGAAGGACUGGAGACCAGCAUGCUGGCACACUGACAAGUGGAGUAUUUGUUCCUCUGGUUUCCCAUGCAGUUGCUAUUUAUGUGUCUCCAAGGCAGUUCCAACUGCAGUGUCUCACAAGCAAAUUAGAAGUAGAUUCAGGAAAGAAUGAAGGCCCAGUUGGACCCAAGUGGUCAAUGGACUGAGAAUAAACUUGAGCCAAAACAAGACA
rnacentral:lncRNA from 1 species